rnacentral:lncRNA from 1 species
AAUUUUUUACUAAGUUACGAAUUAAAAAAAAAAAUUAUUAAAAGUCACUACAACAAAAACGGUAUAUAGCGACACUUUUAAAUAUCGGUAUAGGUCAAAAAAGUGCUGCUCGCUAAAUUUACCGACACUUUUGAAAAGUGUUGCUAAAUGUGGGGUCGCUAGAUAUAUAGUGACAAUUAAAGAGUGUUGCUAUAAUCUAAAAUAGUGCUGCUAAUUUACUAAUAUUUAUUUAAGCAUCUAGCAACCGCCGGAACUCUACCUCGUUGGCUGCGGUGGCGGAGGAGGACGAGAGGAAAUGAUCUUGGUCUAGAAUUUCAGUCGAUUGAGUGAGGAAAGAAGGGAAAAUGAUAAUCGAUUUUUCUUUUCUUUUUCUUUUCUUUUUCUUUUCUGUUUGUAAUCGGGCCGAAUGGGCUAAGUGGAGUGGGUUGAGUAGAGUACCCUUUUAUUUUUAGUUGGAUUGGACUUUAUAUUUAGGCAUUAGUAGGAUUUUUUUUUAAAUUUUGGCAUAAAUGUGACACUUAUACAAAAGUGUCCCAAACAUGUGUCGCUAUAACUUAAUUCUGUUGUAGUGAGUUUAGAAACUAAAUCAAAGCAUUAUUGAAAGGU